rnacentral:rRNA from 1 species
CGGCGGACGGGUGAGUAACACGUGGAUAACCUACCUAUAAGACUGGGAUAACUUCGGGAAACCGGAGCUAAUACCGGAUAAUAUAUUGAACCGCAUGGUUCAAUAGUGAAAGACGGUUUUGCUGUCACUUAUAGACGGAUCCGCGUCGCAUUAGCUAGUUGGUAAGGUAACGGCUUACCAAGGCAACGAUGCGUAGCCGACCUGAGAGGGUGAUCGGCCACACUGGAACUGAGACACGGUCCAG